UACCAGCACCCCGAGUGGUCGGGACGUUUUAUUGGGCCUAAAGCAUCCGUAGCCGGCCUUACAAGUCCCCCGUUAAAUCCAACUGCUUAACAGAUGGGCUGCGGAGGAUACUAUAAGACUAGGAGGCAGGAGAGGCAAGCGGUACUCAGUGGGUAGGGGUAAAAUCCGUUGAUCCAUUGAAGACCACCAGUGGCGAAGGCGGCUUGCCAGAAUGCGCUCGACGGUGAGGGAUGAAAGCUGGGGGAGCAAACCGG
rnacentral:rRNA from 1 species